rnacentral:lncRNA from 1 species
UCUCCUGACUGAGCCAAUAUAAAUGGAAGAGAAAAUUUUCAGUCACAUUCCACUUCUAGCACCAACUACAGCCGAAUUGUGAAUCUGUCCGUCAGAAUGCGUGCUGCUGUCAUCUGUGUCACCCUUGGCAUUUUGUUCUUGAUGUUUGCCCAUGAUUGUGAUUCAUCACCAUCUUACGACAAAGAUGACCCAAGCGUAAUCCGUAAGUGCUAAAUUUUGUUUGAUAUACGAUCGUGGUUACAGACAAGAAUUAUAAGAAAAUAGUACAAAUGCAUGUUGUCCAUAGCUCGGUGCCCCAAAACUUAAUUUUAAAACGAGUGAAAAUAUUUCCUAUUGCGAUUUCAGGAAAAAAUGUAAUGGAAGAACACGUACAUAU